UCUCCGUAGGUGAACCUGCGGAGGGAUCAUUACCGAGCUCAUGCCCUUACGGGUAGAUCUCCCACCCUGUGUUAUUAUUACCUUUGUUGCUUUGGCGGGCCGCCAGGCGCCGGUCAGGCUAUCGGCUUCGGCUGGUAAGCGCCCGCCAGAGGACCCUAUAUCCUGAUUAUUAGUGUCGUCUGAGUACUAUAUAAUAGUUAAAACUUUCAACAACGGAUCCCUUGGUUCUGACAUCGAUGAAGAACGCAGC
rnacentral:misc_RNA from 1 species